rnacentral:tRNA from 1 species
AAGUGGCGGAAAUGCACGGAAUGCCUGGCUCUCCAUUUUCAGACUCAAAAUCUGUUGGCCGCAAGGUCGUGUUGGUUCGAGUCCGACCGGGGGCACCA